rnacentral:ncRNA from 1 species
AUACGAUAAGAGCAAAGCUAAUGAAAAUUAGUGACGCAAAGCUACAGGAGCUAAGGCGAAAUAUAUCGCUAUGCUUGCCAGUUACCGAA